rnacentral:misc_RNA from 1 species
UCUCCGUUGGUGAACCAGCGGAGGGAUCAUUACCGAGUUUACAACUCCCAAACCCCUGUGAACAUACCAUAUUGUUGCCUCGGCGGUGUCUGUUUCGGCAGCCCGCCAGAGGACCCAAACCCUAGAUUACAUUAAAGCAUUUUCUGAGUCAAUGAUUAAAUCAAUCAAAACUUUCAACAACGGAUCUCUUGGUUCUG